UUUCGGGUACAAAUGCCUGGGGCCUCUCUCACGUUGUGCUAUUUUUUAAAGUGCUGACCGUACUUGCUGGCGAAUGACCUGCCGUUGCCGAGUUCAACCCAAAAAAAGCAUGUGAAGCCGGCGCCGACACACUUAAUAGUAUUGACUCCGCUUGUUUUUCUUUUGGUGUCGGUGACGAGACACCUUGCGUAGCCGACUUCAAUACAUUCCGGAUUUUUAGUGUCGGCGACGAAACAACUCAAGUGCCGACGCCUUACUAUGAAGAAGAGGACUCGCCGGAGUGUUACUGUUCAUAAGCUGCCACAGGAGAGGACGGUCUCUUCGACCAUUUGUUUCUAGGGUUUCUUCCUUCUACCUACAAUGCUCCAGCUUCUUCGAGCGUCUUCGAUCUCUAUUGUUAUAGUUCGUUUAGCUUCUAGGGUUUUUUCCUUGUCUCUUUUUUGGCUUCUAGAUCCUACUGACCUCGAAGAAGGCCUUGGAGCGAUGGCGGACUCGUGCAUGGCGGUUAUCCGGGACCGUUUCGCAAGAUGUGGAGCCAAUGAUGCUGUGCAUUCAGAACCGAUUGUCACAUAAUGUGCUAGGCGCAUCUCUUCUAUCUCAGGUAAAUACAAUCUCAAAGGAAAUCGACCGAAUUGGAUGAGGAUCAAGAUUUGUGUUGGGGAUAAGAAUUGCAAGGUUACAUGUCAAAUUCGUUGGUGUCAUUGAUAGAUCUGAAGUUUUUCCAUGGCAAGGUAGCUGGAGAACAGACCAACAUAGUUGGAACCUGAAGUUCAGCUUUAUUUUCGAAGUACUUACUAGAGAAAGUGACUUGUUAUGGUCAAACAAUGUACAAUGUAAAAUAAUGCUGGUGAGGUCUCUGUUUGUUCAAUUGCUUACCUCCUCCAUCAACUCCAAGUGCUACCGGGCAUAAUCCAGCACAGACUACUGCAGCUGAUCCACUUGAGGAGCCUCCAGAAACCUUGUUUAUAUUGUAAGGAUUUCUUGUGGCCCUGUAGUUAAGUUUAACAGUAACUUUUCAAUAGUAAGUUAUGGAAAAGAUAUUGAAAGUUAUCUUAUUGUAACUUCUUUAUUUUCAGUAAGCUAUGCUAAGAUCUCAAUGAUGGGAAAGUUACACGUUUCAAAAAGAAAUCGAAAGCUUUGAGAUUCUUAUUUUCUUUCA